GAUCAACGCUGGCGGCGUGCUUAACACAUGCAAGUCGAACGAAGUUUUUCUUUCGGGAGGACUUAGUGGCGGACGGGUGAGUAACGCGUGGGUAACCUGCCCUGUACAGGGGGACAACAGCUGGAAACGGCUGCUAAUACCGCAUAAGCCCUUAGCACUGCAUGGUGCAUAGGGAAAAGGAGCAGACCGGUACAGGAUGGACCCGCGUCUGAUUAGCCAGUUGGCAGGGUAACGGCCUACCAAAGCGACGAUCAGUAGCCGAUCGGAGAGGAUGGACGGGCACAAUGGGACUGAGACACGGCCCAGACUCCUACGGGAGGCAGCAGUGGGGAAUAUUGCACAAUGGAGGAAACUCUGAUGCAGCGACGCCGCGUGAGUGAAGAAGUAUUUCGGUAUGUAAAGCUCUAUCAGCAGGAAAGAAAAUGACGGUACCUGACGAAGAAGCACCGGCUAAAUACGUG
rnacentral:rRNA from 1 species